rnacentral:rRNA from 1 species
GAUGAACGCUGGCGGCGUGCCUAAUACAUGCAAGUAGAACGAACGGGCGAGAAGCUUGCUCUUUUGGUGUUAGUGGCGAACGGGUGAGUAACGCGUGGAUAACCUACCUAUUAGCCUGGGAUAACUUCGGGAAACGGGAGCUAAUACCGCAUAAUAUUUUGUGCUGCAUGGUUCAUACGUAAAAGACGGUCUUGCUCUCACAUAUAGAUGAAUCGGCGCUUCAUUAGCUAGUUGGUAAGGUAACGGCCUACAAAGGCAACGAUGCAUAGCCGACCUGAGAGGUGGAUCGGCCACACUGGACCUGAGACACGGUCCAGACCCCUACGGGAGGCAGCAUAAGGGAACCUUCGGCAAGGGGCGAAGGCCUGACGGAGCAACGCCGCUGGAGUGAUGAAGUUCUUCGGUUCUUAAACCUUUGUUAUAAGGGAAGACCAUUGGUGUAAGUAACUGUGCACACCUUGACGGUACCUUAUCAGAAAGACACGGCUAACUACGUG